rnacentral:rRNA from 1 species
CCUACGGGAGGCAGCAGUGGGGAAUAUUGCACAAUGGGGGGAACCCUGAUGCAGCAACGCCGCGUGGGUGAAGAAGUACUUCGGUAUGUAAAGCCCUGUCAGCAGGGAAGAAAAUGACGGUACCUGACCAAGAAGCCCCGGCUAACUACGUGCCAGCAGCCGCGGCAACACGUAGGGGGCAAGCGUUAUCCGGAUUUACUGGGUGUAAAGGGAGCGUAGACGGCAAGGCAAGUCUGGAGUGAAAGUCCGUGGCUCAACCACGGGACUUCUUUGGAAACUGUGUUGCUGGAGUGCAGGAGAGGUAAGCGGAAUUCCUGGUGUAGCGGUGAAAUGCGUAGAUAUUAGGAGGAACACCGGUGGCGAAGGCGGCUUACUGGACUGUAACUGACGUUGAGGCUCGAAAGCGUGGGGAGCAAACAGGAUUAGAUACCCGUGUAGUC